UUACCCUGAAGAACCGGACAAGUGU
rnacentral:miRNA from 1 species